rnacentral:rRNA from 1 species
UACUUAAAUACGAGUCUUUAACUUUUAAAGUAAUUUUUUUAAAAAAGGCGAAAAGAAAUUAACUGGUUUUUUUAACAUGGCUAUAGAGUAUUUAAGUCAAAACCCGAAUGGAGGUGAACUAUUCCUGCAAAGAUUGAAGUCAGGGGAAACUCUGAUGGAAGAUCGUUGGCGUUAUUGAUGUGCAAAUCAUUUGCUUUAUGUAGGUAUAGGUGCGAAAGACUCAUCGAACCUCCUAAUAGCUGGUUUCCUCCGAAGUUUCCCUCAGGAUAGCUGUAACAUUUUUAAAUAGUUAAGGAUAGUAGAGAAAUGGGUAGAGGUGUAGUGGAACUACGGUUCUGCAACUUAUUUCCAAACUUCGAACGUUCUUGAUAUAAAAAAUUACCUAAUAGGAAUUUUUUAUUUAAAUAUAUGUUAUAAGUGGGCUCUGACCGGUAAGCGGUCAUGGCGAAAAGGGAUGAACCUAACGUAUAAAUAAGGUGCCUAAAUUUACUAACAAUGAAACCAUUAAAAGAGUCCAUGUAUUUAGACAGCGGGUCGGUGCCCCUAAAAGCAGGUAUCCGUUAAUGAGUGUGUUAAAACUCCCCCGCCGAAUACUCUGGCCUUGAAAAUGAAUGGCGCAUAUAGUAAUACCGAUAUUAUACAUUAAAAUUAUUUAAAAAUUUUAAAAGUAGGGGGAUGUGGAUAUCUUAGAGAAUUUUUAAUUGUAAAAUUGAAUUGAAAGAUAUCUAUUACAGAUCCUAAUUGAAGUAGCGAUUAUCCAGGUUAAUCUCCUGGGGGCUGAUGAGGAGUAGGGUUUCUGGGCAACUUAAACGGACCCAGAGUUAGUCGAUCCUAAUCAAAUUAAAUUUAGAGAAAGGGAAUAUGAAUGAUAUUUCAUAACUAAAAUUAAUUUUUAAAUGGUGACAUUUUUUUAAACUUAUUUCCAUCAAUUAAAUACUGUUUAAUAGGGAUUUCUUUCCUAUAUAACUUUUUAAUUAAAACUUAAGAAACAGGUUAACUGGAGAAUAAAGUUUUAAUUUAGUAAAAUUAUAAUUUCGAUUAUAAUAACGGCUAUUUAAAUGAUCCAUGAAACAAUAAGUUUAUUUUUUCAAAAAUUAAUUUAAUCGUACCGAUAACCGCAUCAGGUCUCCAAGGUGAGUAGCUUCUGGCCAUUGAGUAAUGGUAAUUUAGGGAAUUCGGCCAAUUAGAGCUGUAACUUCGGGAUAAAGCUUGGCUCUGAUGGAAAUCAGAACCGAUAGUUACAAGGAGAGCCCAACUGUUUAAUAAAAACUUAGUGUCGCGUCAUACCUUUAUAAGUAAUAAACGUGACAUGAAUCCUGCUCAGUGCUGUGUUUGUUAAACUGGAUUAAUCCAUUUAAGCGCCGGUAAAUAGCUGGGGUAACUAUGACUCUUAUCAAAGUAGCGAAAUACCUCGUCACUUAAUUAGUGACCUGCAUGAACGGAGCUAUGAGGUUCUCACUGUCCCAAAUUAUCACUCAGCGAACCAACAGUUGUGGGAACGGGCACAAAUUAUCCAGCGGGGAAAGAAGACCCUGUAGAGCUUCACUUUGGUCUAAUCUUGUAUAGUUUCGUUAGGGGUGCAGUCUAGGUGGGAGAUUUUUAAUCAAAUAUGAGAAACCACUACCCUUUCUGGAAUUAUACUUACUAAAAUUCUUUUCUAAAUUUUAGGAUCGGAUUAGAUAGAAAGUUUGGCUGGGGCGGCACACCUUCGAAAAAGCAGCGAAGGUGUCCUAAGUUAAGCUCAGUAAGGACAGAAAUCUUACGUUGAGGAUAAGGCCAAAAGCUUAAUUUACUGUGCCUUUUUGUACUAGGAUCAGUUUGGAAACAAAGGCCUAACGAUCCCUAAUUAGUCUUAGGUGUGUAAGACUUGGGGUGACAGACAAGUUACCUCCGGGACAACUGGCUUGUGGC